rnacentral:rRNA from 1 species
GUAACACGUAGUCAACCUGCCCUGGAGACAUGCACAACCCCGGGAAACUGGGAUUAAUCCGUGAUAGGUCAUCUCAUCUGGAAGGAGAGAUGGCUUAAAGGGGUGCGCGGGCUUCUUCUGCGUAUCUGCUCCAGGAUGGGACUGCGUCCGAUCAGGCUGUUGGCGGGGUAAUGGCCCACCAAACCAGUAACCGGUACGGGCCUUGAGAGAGGUGGCCCGGAGAUGGACACUGAGAGAAGGGUCCAGGUCCUACGGGGCGCAGCAGGCGCGAAACCUUCGCAAUGCGCGAAAGCGUGACGAGGUUAAUCCGAGUGGUCUCCGCUGAGGAGACCUUUUGUCAGCUGUAAAUAGGCAGGCGAAUAAGGGGAGGGCAAGCCUGGUGUCAGCCGCCGCGGUAAUACCAGCUCCUCGAGUGGUCGGGGCGAUUAUUGGGCCUAAAGCAUCCGUAGCCGGUUCCGUAGGUCCUCUGUUAAAUCCAACCGCUUAACGGUUGACCUGCAGAGGAUACCGCGGGACU